rnacentral:rRNA from 1 species
AGUGGGACUAAGCCAUGCGAGUCGACACAGCAAUGUGUGGCAUACGGCUCAGUAACACGUAGUCAACAUGCCCAGGGGACGUGGAUAACCUCGGGAAACUGAGGAUAAACCGCGAUAGGUCACUACUUCUGGAAUGGGUAAUGGCCCAAACCUAUAUGGCCCCUGGAUUGGAAUGGCGGCCNAUCAGGCUGUUGGUGAGGUAAUGGCCCACCAAACCUGUAACCGGUACGGGCUCUGAGAGGAGGAGCCCGGAGAUGGGCACUGAGACAAGGGCCCAGGCCCUAUGGGGGCGCAGCAGGCGCGAAAACCUCUGCAAUAGCGAAAGCUUGACAGGGUUACUCUGAGUGAUUUUCCGUUAAGGAAAUCUUUUUGGCACCUCUAAAAAUGGGUGCAGAAUAAGGGGUGGGGCACAGUCUGGUGUCAGCCGCCGCGGUAAUACCAGCACCCCGAGUGGUCGGGACGUUUAUUGGGCCUAAAGCAUCCGUAGCCGGUUCUACAAGUCUUCCGUUAAAUCCACCUGCUCAACAGAUGGGCUGCGGAAGAUACUAUGGAGCUAGGAGGCGGGAGAGGCAAGCGGUACUCGAUGGGUAGGGGUAAAAAUCCGUGAUCCCAUUGAAGACCACCAGUGGCGAAGGCGGCUAGCCAGAACGCGCUCGACGGUGAGGGAUGAAAGCUGGGGGAGCAAACUGGAUUAGAUACCCGGGUAGUCCCAGCUGUAAACGAUGCAGACUCGGUGAUGAGUUGGCUUUAUGCCAACUCAGUGCCGCAGGGAAGCCGUUAAGUUUGCCGCCUGGGGAGUACGGUCGCAAGACUGAAACUU